UACGUAGGGGGGCAAGCGUUGUCCGGAUUUAUUGGGCGUAAAGAGCGUGUAGGCGGCCUGAAAGGUCAGCUGUGAAAACUUGAGGCUCAACCUCGAGACGUCGGUUGAAACCAUCUGGCUAGAGUCCGGAAGAGGAGAGUGGAAUUCCCGGUGUAGCGGUGAAAUGCGCAGAUAUCGGGAAGAACACCCGUGGCGAAGGCGGCUCUCUGGGCCGGUACUGACGCUGAGGAGCGAAAGCGUGGGUAGCAAACAGG
rnacentral:rRNA from 1 species